rnacentral:rRNA from 1 species
UACGAAGGGGGCUAGCGUUGCUCGGAAUCACUGGGCGUAAAGGGCGCGUAGGCGGCCGAUUAAGUCGGGGGUGAAAGCCUGUGGCUCAACCACAGAAUUGCCUUCGAUACUGGUUGGCUUGAGACCGGAAGAGGAAAGCGGAACUGCGAGUGUAGAGGUGAAAUUCGUAGAUAUUCGCAAGAACACCAGUGGCGAAGGCGGCUGUCUGGUCCGGUUCUGACGCUGAGGCGCGAAAGCGUGGGGAGCAAACAGG